rnacentral:rRNA from 1 species
UGCCAGCAGCCGCGGUAAUACGGAGUGUGCAAGCGUUACUCGGAAUCACUGGGCAUAAAGAGCACGUAGGCGGGUAGGAAAGUCGGUAGUGAAAUCCCUCGGCUCAACCGGGGAACUGCUACCGAAACUUCUUGUCUUGAGGGCGAGAGGGGUGAGCGGAACUUCUGGUGGAGCGGUGAAAUGCGUAGAUAUCAGAAGGAACGCCGGUGGUGAAAACGGCUCACUGGCUCGUUUCUGACGCUGAGGUGCGAAAGCUAGGGUAGCGAACGGGAUUAGAUA